rnacentral:rRNA from 1 species
GUGGGGAAUAUUGGACAAUGGGGGGAACCCUGAUCCAGCCAUGCCGCGUGUGUGAAGAAGGCCUUUUGGUUGUAAAGCACUUUAAGUGGGGAGGAGGCUUACCUAGUUAAUACCUGGGCUAAGUGGACGUUACCCACAGAAUAAGCACCGGCUAACUCUGUGCCAGCAGCCGCGGUAAUACAGAGGGUGCGAGCGUUAAUCGGAUUUACUGGGCGUAAAGCGCGCGUAGGUGGUUAAUUAAGUCAAAUGUGAAAUCCCCGAGCUUAACUUGGGAAUUGCAUUCGAUACUGGUUGGCUAGAGUAUGGGAGAGGAUGGUAGAAUUCCAGGUGUAGCGGUGAAAUGCGUAGAGAUCUGGAGGAAUACCGAUGGCGAAGGCAGCCAUCUGGCCUAAUACUGACACUGAGGUGCGAAAGCAUGGGGAGCAAACAGGAUUAGAAACCCGAGUAGUCC